rnacentral:rRNA from 1 species
UACGAAGGGUGCAAGCGUUACUCGGAAUUACUGGGCGUAAAGCGUGCGUAGGUGGUUGUUUAAGUCUGUUGUGAAAGCCCUGGGCUCAACCUGGGAAUUGCAGUGGGUACUGGGCGACUAGAGUGUGGUAGAGGGUAGUGGAAUUCCCGGUGUAGCAGUGAAAUGCGUAGAGAUCGGGAGGAACAUCCAUGGCGAAGGCAGCUACCUGGACCAACACUGACACUGAGGCACGAAAGCGUGGGGAGCAAACAGG